UAGUGCCAGACUUGUCAAGUUGUGGCUUGGCCAUCACAAUCAGCUACAGAACCAGAAAAUUUGUUUCUCUCCUGAGGAAGGCAAUGGAAAGCAUGAAGGACUGAAUUAAUCUAAGGACCUCUCUAUUGAUGAACUUUGAGAGAGAGCUGAGAAGUCUUGCCAAUGUGAGAAUGAAGAUGGUACAUUAAACUCCAAGGAAGCUACUGGCAAAGUACCUAAGGAAGCAGUUAUAUCAGAGAAUAAAGAUGAAGAACUUGGCAAAGACUGUUAGGGCGAGUGUUCUAGCUGAACCGGAGUUUGUGCUGAAGAGGGCAUCCUUCUGUCUAAUUCGCCAUAAGGUACCACUGCUCCCCAACUGCAUGUUCUCCGGCACCCUUACAGUGUGUGAAAGUUCCUCCUUUCC